UACAGAGGUCUCAAGCGUUGUUCGGAAUCACUGGGAGCAAAGGGUGCGUAGGCCGCACGGUAAGUCAGAGGUGAAAUCCCGGAGCUCAACUUCGGAAUUGCCUCCGAUACUGCCGUGCUUGAGGACUGGAGAGGAGAUUGGAAUUCACAGUGGAGCAGUGAAAUGCGUAGAUAUUGUGAGGAACACUAGUGGCGAAGGCGAAUCUCUGGACAGUUCCUGACGCUGAGGCACGAAGGCCAGGGGAGCAAACGGG
rnacentral:rRNA from 1 species